GUACCCAACACCUUACUGGUAUAAGGGAUGGGAUCAGGGGCCAGGGAAAUAGAGAUGUGUGCAGAGCACUUUUAAUAUCAGUCUGUGCCCUCACUCCCUCAGGACCUCUUCUUCCACUAUGUAUUCAACAAUUUCCUGCAUGCUCAAGUGGAGGUGUGUGUGAGUGCAAUGCUGAGUUCCGGGCCCCCUCCAGACAGCAGCCCUGAGACACCUGUCCCGAACCCUAUCGUGAAACAUCUCCUUCAGCACUGCCGCCUGGUGGAGCGCAUUCUGGCGUCCUGGGAGGAGAAUGACCGUGUGCAGUCAGUACUUACAGACUUCCUGUGGGGACAGAUAGGGCAGUGGGAGGAUGGGUAGGAGGCCUGGAUAGCCCAAGCAUCU
rnacentral:lncRNA from 1 species